UAAGCUUUAAUGUAUAUUGAUCUACUUCAUUAUUUGUAAUACAUGUCAUUAUCUUGACACCUUUAUCAUAAAAUAUUUAUUCAAAUUGGUAAACUAUAUUAUACAUUUAAAUAAUGAACAGGAUUAAUAUGGCAAAAGAGAAGAAUCACACAAGAAGCACGUUACCACAAAAUGUCCAUUGUUUUGUGCUCUCUCAUCUGAUCUGGUCAAACUUGCCUAAAAUUUAUAUCACCAUCAGU
rnacentral:lncRNA from 1 species